AUUGAACGCUGGCGGUAUGCUUAACACAUGCAAGUCGAACGGUAGCAGGCCUUCGGGCGCUGACGAGUGGCGGACGGGUGAGUAACGCGUAGGAAUCUGCCUCAUAGUGGGGGACAACGUGUGGAAACGCACGCUAAUACCGCAUACGCCCUACGGGGGAAAGCGGGGGACCUUCGGGCCUCGCGCUAUGAGAUGAGCCUGCGUUAGAUUAGCGAGUUGGUAGGGUAAAGGCCUACCAAGGCGACGAUCUAUAGCUGGUCUGAGAGGACGAUCAGCCACACUGGGACUGAGACACGGCCCAGACUCCUACGGGAGGCAGCAGUGGGGAAUAUUGGACAAUGGGCGCAAGCCUGAUCCAGCAAUACCGCGUGUGUGAAGAAGGCCCUAGGGUUGUAAAGCACUUUCAAUAGGGAGGAAAACCUGUCGGUCAAUACCCGGCAGCUUGACAUUACCUAUACAAGAAGCACCGGCUAACUCCGUGCCAGCAGCCGCCGUAAUAC
rnacentral:rRNA from 1 species